GACGAACGCUGGCGGCGUGCUUAACACAUGCAAGUCGAACGGAAAGGCCCUGCUUUUGUGGGGUGCUCGAGUGGCGAACGGGUGAGUAACACGUGAGUAACCUGCCCUUGACUUUGGGAUAACUUCAGGAAACUGGGGCUAAUACCGGAUAGGAGCUCCUGCUGCAUGGUGGGGGUUGGAAAGUUUCGGCGGUUGGGGAUGGACUCGCGGCUUAUCAGCUUGUUGGUGGGGUAGUGGCUUACCAAGGCUUUGACGGGUAGCCGGCCUGAGAGGGUGACCGGCCACAUUGGGACUGAGAUACGGCACAGACUCCUACGGGAGGCAGCAGUGGGGAGUAUUACACAAUGGGCGGAGGCCUGAUGCGGCAACGCCGCGUGCGGGAUGACGGCCUUCGGGUUGUAAACCGCUUUCGCCUGUGACGAAGCGUGAGUGACGGUAAUGGGUAAAGAAGCACCGGCUAACUACGUG
rnacentral:rRNA from 1 species